rnacentral:rRNA from 1 species
AUAACAAUACAGGACUCUUUAGAGACCCUGUAAUUGUAAUGAGUCCAUUUGAAAUCCUUUAACUCUGAUCAAUUGGAGAGCAAGUCUGGUGCAGAGCGACGGGCCUGUGCGUGCUGCAGCUGAAACUCCAU